UUUUUUUUUUUUUCCUUCUUAGUCGUGUGUACAUCAUUGGGAAUGGAGGGAAAUAAAUGACUGGAUGGUCGCUGCUUUUUAAGUUUCAAAUUGACAUUCCAGACAAGCGGUGCCUGAGCCCGUGCCUGUCUUCAGAUCUUCACAGCACAGUUCCUGGGAAGGUGGAGCCACCAGCCUCUCCUUGACAAGCAAAGUGGAUCAGCAAAGGCUGCAGUCACCAGCAUCUUUUCCAACCUUAAUGAACUGUAUCCUCAAAAGAACACUAUCAGACUGGAUUGGAAAAGAUUUGGUUAAUGACAGCCCUGUUAUUUCUAAAACCCAUUAUCACUGUAUGAGAGAUUCCUUUGCGCUGCAUCCUCGACAGUGCUUCCUAAGGCUCUGCCGACUUCCAGUUCUGGAACAAGAUGGUUAAACUCAUUUUUCCCUGCUCUGCUCCUCUAAAUACAACUAAGUACCUUGGAAACUAUUCAGCAGACAAUGAUAAAGGGCUCUGAAAGCUAGAAGAAAAGGUGUACUUGCAAGAAACCUCAGGACUUGAGUAACAGCAACAUGGUAAGUUUUCUAAGUUUUCUUUUCGUCUCCCAUAUACGCUGGGCUGUGCUGGAAUCACCAACAGGCACAGAAAAAAUGACAACAAAACAACAACAAAACCCCCAAGAAUAUCCUGUUGUCUUUGGCCAAAGUUCAGGAAAGGGGAGCCCCAACAGAGACCCAGUAGGAAGCUCUAGCCCCUGUUUUGUACAACCCAGGGUCCUUGCAGAGAGAUUGAUCUGCCAGCAGUGGCAUCAGCAGCAAUAGUAGCAGCAGCAAAGCCCUGGACAGUCCUGGCCCCCAGUCCACAACUUAGACACAGCACAUGGCCUAAUUCACCCACAGAAGCAGCCACUGUGAAGCCCUGUGUCUCCCCAGACUCCAUCCAGUGGCAUAAGGAGACCCAGGCCCUGCAGCUUCCUCCCCAUCAUGGAAGGCUGUCCAUCUACAGAGUUUCCAAACAUAAUAAGCACUAAGGAAACAACAUAACAUGAUAUGCC
rnacentral:lncRNA from 1 species